rnacentral:misc_RNA from 1 species
GAAUUUACCAAACCAUUGGAAAGAAAAAAACUUGGCUUCAGCUAAAAUGAAUGCUUCAUUUUCCGACUUUCAGAAGAGGAUUCAGCCUAUUCAACCAUGUGUCCGCAAGAUAUAUGUUGAUGUCCUGCAAGCUCUAAAAUCAGGAUCCUAUCCUAAUAUCGAAGCUGAGCAUGUUUCUGAUUAUAAAUAUGGCUUUGUGGAGACUCUCGUACACCGUUUGAAAGUGCUACCCGUUAUUUUCAAGGAUCAAAUGCCAAUGCUUAAAUUCUUGAGAGACAAUCUCA